rnacentral:tRNA from 1 species
CGGGGUGUAGCUCAGCGGUAGAGCACACGCUUAGUAUGCACAAGGUCCUGGGUUCAAUCUCCAGUACCUCCG